rnacentral:rRNA from 1 species
UACGUAGGCAGCAAGCGUUAUCCGGAUUCACUGGGUUUAAAGGGUGCGUAGGUGGGUCUGUAAGUCAGUGGUGAAAUCUCCAAGCUUAACUUGGAAACUGCCAUUGAUACUAUAGGUCUUUGAAUAUCCUGGAGGUGAGCGGAAUAUGUCAUGUAGCGGUGAAAUGCUUAGAUAUGACAUAGAACACCAAUUGCGAAGGCAGCUCACUACGGGAUUAUUGACACUGAGGCACGAAAGCGUGGGGAUCAAACAGG